CCUCCCUUAGCUCAGUGGAGAGCACUGGCGCGUAAAGCCAGAUACCCGGGUUCAAUUCCCGGCGAGGGUG
rnacentral:tRNA from 1 species